UACCUGGUUGAUCCUGCCAGUAGUCAUAUGCUUGUCUCAAAGAUUAAGCCAUGCAAGUCUAAGUACGAGCUCUCGUACAGUGAAACUGCGAAUGGCUCAUUAAAUCAGUUAUGGUUCAUUUGAUCGUACAGUUUACUUGGAUAACUGUGGUAAUUCUAGAGCUAAUACAUGCGAGAAGCGCCGACCUCGCGGGAGGCGUGCAUUUAUCAGACCAAAAACCGGCCGCGUCUUCGGGCGCGUUCGCCUUGGUGACUCUGGAUAACUUUGCGGAUCGCACGGUCUAGCACCGGCGACGGAUCAUUCAAGUGUCUGCCCUAUCAACUUUCGUCGGUACGGUAUUUGCCUACCGAGGUUCUUACGGGUGACGGGGAAUCAGGGUUCGAUUCCGGAGAGGGAGCCUGAGAAACGGCUACCACAUCCAAGGAAGGCAGCAGGCGCGCAAAUUACCCAUUCCCGACGCGGGGAGGUAGUGACGAAAAAUAACAAUGCAGGACUCGUUCGAGGCCCUGUAAUUGGAAUGAGUACACUUUAAAAGCUUUAACGAGUAUCCUUGGAGGGCAAGUCUGGUGCCAGCAGCCGCGGUAAUCCAG
rnacentral:ncRNA from 1 species